UCAGGGAUUUGUAGAGCUAUAAGGCACCUGUGAGCCUCCUUUUCUCCGGGAUAAACAAACCCAGCUCCCUCAGCUGCUCCUCACAGGACUCAGGCUCCAAACCCUUCCCUAGCUCCAUUGCUCUUCCCUGAACCCCCUCCAGCCCCUCAGUGUCCCUCCUGAACUGAGGGACCCAGAACUGAGCACAGCACUCGAGGUGUGGCCUCGCCCCUGCCCAGGACAAGGGGAGGAAUGGCUUCUCCUGGCGUGAGGCAAAAGCGAGGGAUGGGUGUGAGGUGAACAAAAGGGAACGUUAUUGCACAGAACAUUUUAGUGAUUUUUGCCACUGGAUCAAAUCAGUUAGGAAGGGGUUUGCCAUGCUGUGGGGAUACAGUUCAUUAAUGGCUGUCAAACAGUGUGGUUGGAAUGCUUUACAUGGCAGAUUCCCGGGAUGGGGUUAGCUGGGGUCAUUCACCCUGCACUGCCCCGGAGCUUUGUUACUGUGUUUGGAAGGAUACAGGUCUGGGAGUGCCUCAACUGCCUGUUCUCAAGUCACAAAGCCAACCAGGACAUGUUGGUUCGUUCCUUUACAAAAUGAAAAAUUGUAGCCAUUGUAGCUAAAAUGUCAGUUUCCGAUGUGGAAAAUACCAAUCUUUCAUUAAAUAACCCCAUGGCUCGAAAAUAAGCUUUUUUGAUUUGAAAAUGCUGCUUUUCCAUGUCCUAGGAGGUGUGAACUGCCUGUUGUCUAAUAAAAUCGUGCCUUUCCAUAGGCUGGUCUCCCCAGCUGCCCUCCAAGUGCCACAGGCAGGGGUUUCCCAGGAUGAAGGAGAGAAGUAAGGUGCCAUUGGAUGUUUGAAUAGUGGACACUGGUAGGGAAGAGUCCUUUCACAGGUUCAGCAUUUCAACGGGCUGCAGCUUACAAAUCUCCCAAAGAAAUAAAGCCAGCAAACAUUUGGGACCAACUACAUGGUGCAAAGAAACAGGUCUGAUAGCAGAUUUAUGCAUGCUGAGUCCAUAAUCCAUGUGCUUUUUGUUUACUCUGCUAAUGAACAGAAUCUGCCUUCUUGAUGGUGGAAUGAGAUCUUCUCUCUGGGAGGGAAUAAGAUUUUGGAAUUGCUGUCAUGUCCCAUCACUGCAUCUGUGGCUGGAUGUUGGGAGUGUAUGGGAGUUAGGGGGGCAAUAAAGAAACCUUCUGAGAGACUGAGGAACAGAAUUACUAGCAGCUCAUCAUGGCUUUUUAUUUGAGCUUUAAGUUCUUGCAGACGGCAAGACCUUACUGCAUGUGCAGCAAAGAAAAUUGAGUUUUACUCGUCAGAAGAUUUUAAAUAAACAUUUGGGGGUUUUGUUGUUGUUGUUUUGGUUUGUUUCCCCCCCACUUCUGAUAGCUGUUUGUUCCCUCAGUAAUCCCAGAUCGGGUUAUAGUACCCAGAUUUAAUUUCUGGGAACAGAUCUUAUUUAAGCCACAAAUACCCAAGUUCUGGGGGAGCAGUUUAUCUUUUCAGUGUGUGCUUCUCUGCCACUAAGAUUUAUGUAUCUCACAAUGCUUUGAAGAGAUCCAAAUGCAAGAAUAGUCCUUGCUUGCAGUUCUAAAAUGGAGGUGGGUUGCCUGGAAGCAGAAGUCAUAUAUCUGACGAUAAUUGGAAUGAAACACUUUGCUUUUUAAAAGCCAAAGAAAAAUUAGAGUCCUUGUCGAUAUGGAAAGGAGAUAAAUAACCAAAGAGGCUUUGUGAAAAAUAAAAAAUAUGAGACAAUUUAUUUACAUGAAAGAAAAAAUGGCUUCUGUCUAAGGAAGAUUAAAGUGUUUGCACAAAACUCCUGUUGCACAUCCGCCUUGUGGGAAUACAAGGAAUAAAGCAAUUGUUUGGGCCCACCUAUUUUAUUCAGAUAUUUUUUUCACCAGUUUCUCUCAGAAUCCUUCUGUCCAUUCUGCAGGUGACAGAUGACACACAGAAAUGAAAUGUGUGGGCUCUGUGUACGAAGGAAAUCUGUUCUGGCUCUCCUGGUGAGUGGUGUGAGCUGCUGGGCUGAGUUAGGAGUAGCCCAUCUCUGUAUGCUGUAUGACACAGAUAAUAAAUAUUUGGAGGUAAGGGGUAUAAAAGUGUCCCAGACCACUCCAAAAAGUUUCCCCAGACCACUCCAUAACAUUUGUUUGCAAAAAAAGACAUUGGUCAGCUCUGGGUCUGAGGGCUCAGAUGCAGUCAAGUUACUUAAGAAAGUUAGUCCCUAGAAAAUGUGGGAUAAUUCAGUUUAGCUUAGUCUGAAAUGAUGAAGAAUUGUGCUGAAUUGUCACAUCAGUCUGGGCUAACAUGUUAGGUAUUGUUUUUGCAGUUAUCUGGGAGCUGAGUCCUGAGAAUGAGCCAAGGCUUGAACUUUGGGAAGCUUUGGUACAAAGAACACCUCUCUAUGAAUAUCUCUCUAUAUACACACUCAGGGCUUACAAUUUAUCCAUCUCCCUGUGUGUCAUGGAUUAUGUGGAACUCAUGUGCCUCUGCAUCUCUUCUGCUGGCUUUACUCUUUCUGUCUUUUAAGUCUCAGCAUUACCUUCUUGAUUGUUGCUGUAGUAGCUGCUGGAAACUCCUAAUUUUGACCAGGAUCCCAUGGAUAAUGUACAGACAUAGCCCAAAGACUGACUUCUCUCUCAGGACACAAGGAAUAUGCACUGUCCUGGUCUGGAUCGUGUCCUCUGAGCAGCUCAGGUGCCUAAAGAGGCUUUGCUUUAUUCUGCCACAGAGCUAUCUGCAUGUCUGUGGAAGAACUACUAACCUUGCCUAAUACCUGGGCCUCUUGCCAACAUAAAUGCUGGAGUGUUUGCUGUGACUUCAGAUUUGCUGAUUAAGCUUAAUUUCCAGCUGACAGAUGGCAGCAAUUCUCUUUCCAUAUUGUCAUCGGUUGAACAGGGCAGGAGCUCCAGAAUACCAGAAGAAUUAAAAAAUACAGGCAUCUUUGCCCUUUUCUUUUGCUCUUUCUGAGUGUGAAAUUUGCACCAAGAAGGCAGCAGACUGAGAAAAUGUCUGAAGCCCUUGGAAUGUGGCACUGCUGCCAAGUACAGCCGUGCCAGGAAAACACAGGCAGGUCAACAAGCAAACGUGACCCAGGGCUCAGAGAUGGGGGAGGGAGGUUUUCUUUUGCCUAAGAAUGAUCCAAAGUAAAAGUGGGACUGUUUUAGGGUUUAAUUGAGAAGGAAUUGGAGAGCCAUGGAAGAAGGGAAUGGAACAUGAGGAUUCCAGGUCAGAUGGAGAAGUCUCAGACAGCCAAGGAGCAAUGUCAGUGCACCUUGUGGAGGAAGAAUCACACACAGUGCACUGUCCAGUGCAGCAGGCUUCCCUUGGAAGAACUGCCUUCUUAAUGUUUGUAUAAAUCUCCAAGAGGAAAUUAAACAAGAAUGGAGCUCAGGAGGGCUCUCUUCAGAAAGUAGUGUGGCAAAAAUCUCUGGCAGAUAAGACUGCUUUCUUUAUCCUGAAAUGCACCUGUGUUCCUCAUUAGAAGAGAACAGCUCCAUACCACCAGAUGGACCAUGGGGAGGGAUGAGCCAGGCUCCCAUCACACAUUAUGACAUAAAGAAAGCAUUUCUUCCUGGCUGCAAAGAGAUGGUCAAGAUAAAAAUAUUUAGAUUUAAGAUUAUUUAAAAUGUAAAAAAACUGCAUGAUAUUAUUUUAAAAAGCAUAACUCUCAACUAUAGCCUGGAGGCAAAUGAGUUCCUAAUGAAUUUUGGCACUUAAAUCCUUUUCUAAAAUCUCUUUCUAAUGUUUUCAGUCAUAUAUACCCUUUAUUUUCUUUUUACCUCAAAUGUCUUGCUAGGAUUUUUGGUUGAAGUGCUCUUUGACUCCACAAGCUGCUUUCCUGCUAAAUGUGGAAAAUGUCACUCUAGUGGGUUGUGUAAUUGCACUCCCCACUAUUUCUCUUUUUACACAAUCUGGAGGAGGGAAAUAGUGCUACCCAGUGAACUGAGCUGCACUGGCAGUUUUGAUGGGAUGCAGCAAAGACAAACCACUAAAAGGAAAAUUCCAGAACAUGAUGGAGACUGUUACAGUACAGAGUUUCCCAAUAAGACACCCCAGAUCACACUCCUGAUAGGAGCUAAUUGGGUUUUUUCUAGAGCAUCUUGUGGGUCUGCAAGCCAUGAACCAUGAGCAGCACUCCAGGGGACAUGGGACCAUAUCCUCAUCUUGCUCUUGGGAUACUGUAGUUUCUACUGGGUGGAAAUGAAGUUUGCAAGCACAUCUCAAAAAUUGCAGCAUUCCCCUGGUUGUUUAAGGGAUAUUCUCAUGUUGCAGCCUUGGCUUGUCUCUGUGAUGGCUUUAGGAAUACCCCAGCAUACCUGGGAAUAUAGCUGCUGCCAGGAGGCUUGAAGUGCAGUUUGUAUGGUGUUUAAGCCUCUUUGAGACAGCACUGCCAUUGAAAGAAAUGCAGGUGGAGCCAUACAGACAACCAGAUCAGAAUGAACCAGCCCAGAGGUUUUUAACCUGGAUCAGUUUUUACCUAAAGCAGUUUUGCUUGUGCUGACUCAAAACAUGCUCACAGUUUUGAUAGUAUGCUGGGGAGAAGUAACCUUUGGACCUGUUGGAACAGGUCCAGAAGAAGGCCAUGAAAAUUAACAAAGUGCUGAAGCACCUCUCCUGUGAACAGGCUAAAAGAGUUGGAGUUGUUCAGCCUGGAGAAGAAAAGGCUCUGGGGAGGCAUUAUUAAAGCUUUUCAAUACUGAAAGGGGGCUGGUAAGAAAGAUGGAGAGAGACUUUUUAACAGGACUAGUAGUGACAGGAUAAAGGAAAACAGUUUAAUCUGAAAGAGGAUAGGUUUAGAGUGCACAUAAGAGUGAUUUAUUUUUGCAAGGAGGGUGGUGGAAAUGGGCCUGAGUUGACCAGAAAAGCUAUGGAUGGAUGCCCCAUCCCUGGAAGUAUUCAAGGCCAGGUUGGAUGGGGCUUUGAGAUGCUUGAUCUAGUGGAAGGUGUUCCUGCCUGUGGCACUGGGAGAGCAGUGACUACUGGGAAUAAUUUGGUUUGCAAGAAAAAGUAGAGAAGGAGAACUUUUCUGAGGCUAUUUGAGGCAGUAAACUCAGACUGAAAUUUUGUCAGAAAACAAAAUGGUUUUCAGACAGCUGAGGGCGCUGAGCACUUCUUAAGUGAAGUUGGUGUUUUGCAGUUUUGGGCUUUAAGUUACAGCACCAAAAUGCUCUGAUCACACAUAACACUGCUGGUGAGCAAAGCCUCACCAGGGGCUCAGGGUCCAACACUGGCAAUAGCUGAAAAAUGAAAGACCUAGAGCUGGUUAAAUAACUGCUUAUGUGCUUAAGUGCAAGCAUAAAUGUAUUGCCUUAAUUUUAAUGGCACCUUGAAAGACCUCUUUGAUCACUGAUUUCCCCUUCUGAAGCAGCAGGACUUUGUUUAUUUAUUGCAAUUUCCAUAAAAGUAGAACUGGAGAAAAAUGUUAGGCUCAUGUACCUGUAUAUUUUUAUUCUGGUCAUCUUCUGUCAGUUUUCUCUCAUCCUGGUUUUAUCCUUAUCACUGAGAUCUGCUUCUUUGCAUGACACACCUUUGCCAGAAUCACCACCUAGAGCUGUCCCAAAUUUCCCAAGAAAUGGCCUUUCUUGUGUUGGAAUCUGCAUUUUGGGCACGUCUGUUCAGGUCUGGAAAAAAGACACAGUGAUUUCAUUUCACCCGGACUAUGAUGCAUGAUUCUUUUUAGGGAUUUUUAAUAUAAAUCAGAUUUCUCUGGAUUCUCAUUUAUCUUGCAUUGAUUUCUCUAGCUUAUUCAAGCUUCUUAAAAUCAUUCUGUGGUUUUUGUUUAUUCACCACUUUUUAUUAGCAAAUCCUUAAUUCCUUUGUGCUUCUAAAGCUUCUUAGGACACGAAACAAUGCUUCUGAUUUUUUAACUCUUAUUAUUACCUCUAAUGGUAUGAAUAAAAAUUAGUUUACUUUGAUGAAAUACACUUAAUUCAUACACUUAUUUUAUUAAAGUCAAGUAAUUACUGCAACUAAAGUCUUUCUUACUUGGAUAUUUCAUGUCUUUAGAAGAAAGGUUAAUCUACUUACUGUGGCAGUCAUUUCUGCAAUUUUUUCAGCUCCAAAGGGACAUCUUGGCUUAGAAAGUUAAGGAUUUUUGAGUCAGUCAAUUUCCUUGUUUUCAUCCACAGAAACUUUGAUUUGCAUUUUCAAGUACUGGUAAUUAAAUUAAAGGAUCUGUGACUUGCAAGGCUGUUUGACAUUAGGCAUGUAACACAUCUCUCAGUGUCUUAGUUUGCAAGAUGUGGCUGAGGGUGUGUAUUCUAUUUCUAUCUGUUAGAGGUGGGGCAGUUAUCUUCUGUUCAUUGGGCAGUUUUCUUUAUCUCUUCCACAGUCAAUCCUCCCUCCAGGUGUUAAUGGGCCAGGGAGUGUCACUGCAUGGCUGAUAAAAUUCCAUCAUCCCAUUGAGAGAUCCUGCACCCAGGGGGAGGAGCGAAGCAUUCCUACCUGGAAAUAAUCUGGGAUUUGGAACAACACACAGCAGCCUUUUCCCACUGGAUUCCCUGAGGAGCAGCUUCCUUCUCCCCUACAUUCCCAGAGGAAGACCAGGCACAUCUACACUGCCAGUGGACCUUCAGAGGAAAACUCCACCUUUCUACAAGAUCCCUGCUCCAACAGAACCACAGCUGGCACUGCAGGAGGGCUGAGCCACCAUAGAAUGGGACUGUUGCCACCACCCUGACCCACAGGGUGUCAGCUAUUCUGACUCUUGUCAGUGGUUUAUUUUUUUUGUACUAUUGAACUUGUAUUUUUAAUUUUCCUAGUAAAGAACUGUUAUUCCUAGU